CGGAGGAUGGAAAAGGGGAGGGAUUGAGCAGGGCAAAGGGGAUAGGAAUUGGUAGGAUAGCAGAAGAUGGAAAAUCGUUUUGAGAAGCUUCUCCUAAAUCACCAGCAGCCCACAAGAUGGUAGUUGAGCCCUGCCCUGCUUCUGAGGCUUCCCACUCAGUCCAGUCCAGGGUGUGGGGGACCCUAAUUGAAUCUGAGAUGCCUUGCGGGGAGGAGGAAGAGGAAAUUGGGAUGCAAAUAGGUACUGAAGAUCGUGUGAAGACAGGGAGGAGGUUGUCAUCAGCAAGCCAAGGAGAGAAGCCUCAGAAGACACCAACCCUGCCAACACUGUGACCUCAGACUCCAGCCCCCAGAACUGUGAGAAAUACAUUUCUAUUAUUUAUGUCAAUCUGUGGUCCUCUGCUAUGGCAGCCCUGGUGAACUAACAUACAAUGCUCAAGAACUUUUCCAUAUUUUUUCCAUAUUGCUUUGCCAUAUUUUAAUUGUUUAGAGCUGCCUAAUAGAAAUAUACUAUGAGCCACGUAUGUAAUUUAAAAUUUUCUAGGAACUACAUUGAAAAAGUAAAAAAAAAG
rnacentral:lncRNA from 13 species